UAGGGAAUCUUCGGCAAUGGGGGCAACCCUGACCGAGCAACGCCGCGUGAGUGAAGAAGGUUUUCGGAUCGUAAAGCUCUGUUGUAAGAGAAGAACGUGUGUGAGAGUGGAAAGUUCACACAGUGACGGUAACUUACCAGAAAGGGACGGCUAACUACGUGCCAGCAGCCGCGGUAAUACGUAGGUCCCGAGCGUUGUCCGGAUUUAUUGGGCGUAAAGCGAGCGCAGGCGGUUUAAUAAGUCUGAAGUUAAAGGCAGUGGCUUAACCAUUGUUCGCUUUGGGAACUGUUGAACUUGAGUGCAGAAGGGGAGAGUGGAAUUCCAUGUGUAGCGGUGAAAUGCGUAGAUAUAUGGAGGGACACCGGUGGCGAAAGCGGCUCUCUGGUCUGUAACUGACGCUGAGGCUCGAAAGCGUGGGGAGCAAACAGG
rnacentral:rRNA from 1 species